rnacentral:rRNA from 1 species
AUCCGGUGAACACUUUGGAUUUUGGUCCGUUGGCUGUAACAGGUCUUUGGACAUAAGAGAAGUCGUGUAAAUCUUAUCAUUUAGAGGAAGGUGAAGUCGUAACAAGGUU